rnacentral:ncRNA from 1 species
CUAAGUACACUGUACAUAUAUGAAGCUUGGGUGAAACUAAGUGGAGGUCCGAACUGACUGAUGUUGAAGAAUCAGCAGAUGAGUUGUGGUUAGGGGUGAAAUGCCACUCGAACCCAGAUCUAG